GUAAAACUCUUUCGCCUGUGAUGAUAAUGACAGUAAGCAGGUAAAGAAACCCCGGCUAACUCCGUNCCAGCAGCCGCGGUAAUACGGAGGGGGUUAGCGUUGUUCGGAAUUACUGGGCGUAAAGCGCACGUAGGCGGAUUAGAAANUUAGAGGUGAAAUCCCGGGGCUCAACCCCGGAACUGCCUUUAAAACUACUAGUCUAGAGUUCGAGAGAGGUGAGUGGAAUUCCGAGUGUAGAGGUGAAAUUCGUAGAUAUUCGGAGGAACACCAGUGGCGAAGGCGGCUCACUGGCUCGAUACUGACGCUGAGGUGCGAAAGUGUGGGGAGCAAACAGGAUUAGAUACCCUGGUAGUCCACACCGUAAACGAUGAAUGCCAGUCGUCGGGUAGUAUACUAUUCGGUGACACACCUAACGGAU
rnacentral:rRNA from 1 species